CUACUAUUUGCCUAAAACAAUCGUCCUUCAGUACCCCGUGCCUAGGGAGGGUCUUCUUGGCAGAGCUGCAACACAGACAGCUGGAUGGGGUUCAUGUCUGGGGCGCAAUAACAACACCCAAGAGCGCUUGCUCUUUUAGCAGCCAACGCAGGCCCUCAUCCAGGACAAGUAGGGCAGGAAUCUACAACAGUGACAUCACCAAGGUGAGACGACGUUUCCCACAGACACUGAGCGUCAAAGGUAAGAAAACCAACUUGGAACUGGUUUGCGCAUAGCGAGGCAGGCCUUCCCCCGGGGGUUGUUUGGACACGCAUUAAAGGGCGUGGAUGACAUGGCCGCCGCGCUCG